rnacentral:misc_RNA from 1 species
GGAAGGCAGUUGCUUUAAAGAGAGAAGGAAAAUUGUUGGAGGCUCGAGAAGAACUUAGGCAGGCAAAGAUUUUGGAGAAGAGUUUAGAGGCAGAUUCUUCUGAGACUCAAACUGGUACUCAACAUGUGUCAGUAUCUUUGUCCAAUGUUCAUCCUCCUGUUCAACAAAAGGAACAUAGUGCAGCCAUUUUGGCUCCAAAACCAUUGUCUGGGCGUGAUCGUUUCAAGUUACAACAGGAGUCCCUUAGCCACAAACGUCAAGCUUUGAAACUGAGAAGAGAAGGCCGCAUGGAAGAAGCAGAAGCUGAGUUUGAAUUGGCCAAGUCUCUUGAGGCACAGUUGGAGGAGUCGGCUUCUCAAGAUUCCAGCAGGUCUUCUGUCAGUAUGGCAGAACCAAUGGACAAUGCAGUGGUUGAAAAUCUUCUCGAUCCUCAACUCCUAUCUGCCCUGAAGGCAAUUGGUAUUGAGGAUGCUAGCAUUGCAUCACAAGGCCUAGAGAGACCAGGUUCUGCAAAACUUAAUCCUCAGAAGGGCGAAAAUGUUGGUCAAGAGAGGAUUCAGUUGGAAGAGCAGAUCAAGGCGGAAAAGUUAAAGGCAGUGAAUUUGAAACGUUCAGGGAAGCAAGCUGAGGCUUUGGAAGCUCUUCGGCGGGCAAAAUUAUAUGAGAA